CCACGCCCCCCACGCCGACCGCCGUAGAGAAGGUCCUUGCUCGCCGGGCGGCCAGUGUAUUCUCCUGAGAGUCCGGGCGCGUUGGAGGACGGGUGCGGAGUGUGGGAGCGUGUUCGGCGUUCAGGCUGAGCCGGGGCAGGCCGCGCCCCUCGGCACGCAGGCUACCCUCGAGUUCGCGCAGGCGAACUCUGGCCUACGGGGAUACAGCGGGCGGAGGCCUACGUUUGGCCUGCGGGCAUAUAGCCAGCGGAGGCCUGGCUGCUGAGGUACACGGAGAGGCGUCAGAGCCGCUGCCUCCGCCGCCGCGGGAGAGAAGCUCGUUUACAACUCAAGCGAAGAAACUGGAGAUGGCCAGCAAAUCAUGUCCCGAGUGCGACCAACAGGUUCCUGUUGCAUGUAAAUCUUGUCCCUGUGGUUAUAAUUUAUUAAUAGGAAACUUUUAAAAAUAAAACACUCAGAGAAAUCAUCACCUUUUACAGGGAUUAGUUUGGGUAAAGAUAACUGGAUGGUCCUCUUUUCUUUCUCCCUCCUGACAACCUGCUGUGUCUAUCCCAUGGAAGAAAGGAGAGUUAAGGAAUUCUGAAAGGUAAGAGGUGAGGAAGAUUAUCCUGGAAUGGAUUUUACGUGGAAAGAGGUAGAGAGAAACGAGAGACAGACAGAUGGUGGGAGGAAGGAGGAGGAAUGGAGGGAGAGAUGGAAUGGAAAUCCUGUAAAGUACAAUUGACUGUCAGCAGAUUAGAGACCACACAUGGGGUGCUUUACUGCAAAUUAAAAAAAAAAGGUGUCCCUUCAUUCGAGUAGAGGGGCCCUCAAGUUUGACACAUGGCUUGGUGAGCAGUACAUAGGCUGCUUUCAGUCCUAAUUUCAGUACCCUUAGCUGGAUGCCUUGGUCUGGACUCACCUGCUCAUUUUACCUCUCUGUCCUUGGAUUUGUCAAGCAAUCUAUUCAGUGCUUCUGUAGACUUCCUGUUUGUACUCUCAAGAGAGUGGAGCUUCUGAUUUAGCUCGGACUGAUAGGAUAGGAGGAAUAAGACCAGAAGUUGGGAAGGACUUACUCAUCCAUCCAUCCACACAUCCAUAUAUCCACUCACCUACCCACCCACCCCAGUCCCCUCCCCUCUCCCCCCCUCACAAGGGUGAGACAAAAUGGUCACAGAGGGUGAGAGCAGUGUCUUGCCUAAUGUGAAAGAAAAUAGGGUCAUUAGUUACUUAGUCUGGAUGUUAAUUGUGUGGCCACCCAACCUUCCCUCAGUUCUCAGACCCCUUGUCAGACUUCCAGGGCUGAAUGCUAGUCUUUGGUCUAAAACAGUCUGUGGUUGUCCUUGCCCAGCUCAAGUAAGUGGUUCAAGGAUGGGUAGGAAAGCCAAACAGAAGCAGUGAAGAAACAUGAGGAGACAGGAAAAGGAGCAGAUAGAUGUAGGAUGUUGUUAUCUUAGUAAUCUUCCUUUCCAACUCUAACGGGGUGUAGACAGAACAGAGUGUAGACAGAAAUGGGCUCUGUGGUUCUGUGAGUAAAUGGAUCCAGCUGUGUCUGAAAUAGUACUACUGUUAGUGUUCUUUGGGAUAUGUGAGCUAGUAAAUACCCUUUUUGCCUAAGCCACUUUGAGUUGAGUUUUCCAUUUUGGCAAAAGAAAGAUUCCUGACUGAUAUGCUCCCUGAACUUUACUUAACUGUAAAAUGAGGCUUAUGAUACCACAUUGGGAAGAAAGAGGUACAAUUAAUAUAAAGCACAAGCACAGAGUAGAUGCCCAAUAUGCAGUAUUUAAUACCAUGAGAGGAAAAACAAAGGAGGCAAAGCAAGGUGUGGGACACCUCUGGAGGCCCCUCUGUAUCCAGCAUAGGCCAGUUGGGCUGAGUUCAGUGCUCAGUGAAGCAGAGAUACCCAUCUGUAAAGGAGGACUGGCUUCUUGAGUCACUGAGCCUGUGGGGCUUUUCUCCAAUGAGUGCUCCCUGACCCAGUGCAUAUGGCUAUGAAGGAGAAAAAGAAAAGCUCUCUUUCAGGACAUAGAUGAGGCACUGAUCUUUGUCUGCUUUGGCUGUUAUUUGUACCUUUUUUUCUUUUUUAAAUCAUAGGUGACUCCUUUUUGGAAGUAUGGAGUGUAAAUGCUGUGAACAAAAAUCAGCACAAAAUGACUACAUUUUCGUCAUUGUGGUGACCAUCUCUCCAUUGCCUUGGAAAAAUAGGAACUACACAUUUAUCUAUCUAUCUAUCUAUCUAUCUAUCUAUCUAUCUAUCUAUCUAUGUAUGUAUUUAUUUAUUCAUAUUCUUUCCCAAUUUAAU